rnacentral:tRNA from 1 species
UGUGUUUUAGUGUAAAAGCAUGAAGAGUUUUGGACUCUUAGGCAAAGCACAU